rnacentral:tRNA from 16 species
GUGGUGCAAUACACAUCAUUUUCAAAGCAAAGGCCACGGGUUCACACCCCACCACCUGC